UACGUAGGGAGCAAGCGUUGUCCGGAAUCAUUGGGCGUAAAGCGCGCGUAGGCGGCCCUGUAAGUCCGUUGUGAAAGUCAAAGGCUCAACCUUUGAAAGCCGAUGGAUACUGCAGGGCUAGAGUCCGGAAGAGGCGAGUGGAAUUCCUGGUGUAGCGGUGGAAUGCGCAGAUAUCAGGAGGAACACCCAUAGCGAAGGCAGCUCGCUGGGACGGUACUGACGCUAAGGCGCGAAAGCGUGGGGAGCAAACAGG
rnacentral:rRNA from 1 species